UACGUAGGGGGCAAGCGUUGUCCGGAAUUAUUGGGCGUAAAGAGCGCGUAGGCGGUCCGGUAAGUCGGUUGUGAAAGUCGGGGGCUCAACCCUCGGAUGCCGAUCGAUACCGUCGGGCUAGAGUCCGGAAGAGGCGAGUGGAAUUCCUGGUGUAGCGGUGAAAUGCGCAGAUAUCAGGAGGAACACCAGUGGCGAAGGCAGCUCGCUGGGACGGUACUGACGCUGAGGCGCGAAAGCGUGGGGAGCAAACAGG
rnacentral:rRNA from 1 species